GCUGAUUCCAGCUGGUUGGUAAAGCACACCCUUAGUAAGGUGAGGUCGGCAGUUCGAAUCUGCCUAUCAGCCU
rnacentral:tRNA from 1 species